rnacentral:rRNA from 1 species
CCUACGGGAGGCUGCAGUGGGGAAUAUUGGACAAUGGGGGCAACCCUGAUCCAGCCAUGCCGCGUGUGUGAAGAAGGCCCUCGGGUUGUAAAGCACUUUCAGUGAGGAAGAACGCCUGGUGGUUAAUACCCAUCAGGAAAGACAUCACUCACAGAAGAAGCACCGGCUAACUCCGUGCCAGCAGCCGCGGUAAUACGGAGGGUGCGAGCGUUAAUCGGAAUUACUGGGCGUAAAGCGCGCGUAGGUGGCUUGAUAAGCCGGUUGUGAAAGCCCCGGGCUCAACCUGGGAACGGCAUCCGGAACUGUCAGGCUAGAGUGCAGGAGAGGAAGGUAGAAUUCCCGGUGUAGCGGUGAAAUGCGUAGAGAUCGGGAGGAAUACCAGUGGCGAAGGCGGCCUUCUGGACUGACACUGCCACUGAGGUGCGAAAGCGUGGGUAGCAAACAGGAUUAGAUACCCCAGUAGUC